UCGGUCCACGAUCUGCAGCACUGUGGCCUCAGCAACUUCAGGUGGGGCAACUGGUUAAGCCAUAACUGAGUUUAUUGUAAACAUGAUGAGCCUAACCAAAGUGUGUGUAAAAACAAGUUACAUUUAAUUAUGUUUAAUUCUGUUCUGUCUUUUUCUAGGUGCUUCUGCAGUUUGGGCAUUGAUGGUUGCAGUGACUAACUGUACUGUAUGAGAUAUUAUGGACUGAAAAAAAAAACGUAUAUGGUGACACUACAUGUGACAAAAAAAAAAGAAUAAUCAGAGAUACUAUAGAUAUGUUCUCUGGGGGAAUACACAGACUCUCAUGGUAUAAUGAGAUGUGCUUGUAAAUUCUGAUUCAGCAAUAUCUAUAUUAGCCAUUGCAAACAAAAUAAAAAUAUAGACAAAAAUGAAAUAGUGUGAUUUUUCACAUAGACUGUGUUGGAUGCCCUGCCCUUGCCAUCUCGUGUUUAUAUAAAGACCACCGCGUAGCUUUUAUAUUGAAAUAAACUAAGGUUUGUUUACAUUAACAUUCUACCACUAGUUCAAACUGUGAUUGUCUUUGAGGCCUACUUAACAUCUUAAAACCAUAUCAUACCUGAUAAAAUGUUUGUCAAGCAAUGUUUGUCAAGUGAAUUGUGGAAUUUUCUGAUAAAGUGGUGUUUAACAUGAUCCCAACUGUCUGAACAGAACUAUGCAUCCCUCUCCCUGUGUGUGAGGAGAAAGGAGGGGCCGAGUUUACCUGAAGUGCAUUCUAUUAGUCUGUAGAAAGGCCACGAUCAAGAUGAGGAAAUAUAGCCUGACAAUGCCUCUCAGGGAAUUCCACCAAGGGCAUGUUUAAUUACACCCAGAGGGCAGUUUUGAGUUUCGUUUCUCUGGAAAUCACCGCCUAGUAUUCCAGUACCAGUUAUAAAUACCAAAUUAAAUUUUGAGUUUCAGCUCUCUUCAAUAUGGGCUUGUGUAAGUAGCCUAGCCCAACCAAUAUGCUUUCAAAUUCAAUCAAUUUGCGUUUUUAUAACAUAUUGGAAAUAUUUAAAGUAAGCUACCCACUGACGUAAGUACUUGCAUUGUUGUUUGUUACAGUGAGUAUUGUGGCAGCAGUGGCAGGAGCAAGUGAGUUUAACUUAUUUUUUCUCAAAUUGAUGCCUGUCUCGGCAGGGACAACUUGCCCCUACUCACUAUUUCUGGUAUAUAACUGAAAAGAACCUGUUAGAGAUCUCCAAUCAUAUUCUUUAUCUAACCUCUUAUUGCUCAUAGCGGGGGCAGUGGCCGCUGCACCGCUUGUGCUGGGUGCAAUAGGCUUCACUGCAGGUGGGAUAGCUGUGGGAUCCAUAGCCACCAGCAUGAUGUCCGCCACAGCAGUGGCUAACGGAGGAGCUGUGGCAGCCGGUAGUUUGGUGGCUUUGGGGCAGGCAGCAGGUGCAGCCGGUCUGUCUGCAGGGGCAACAGCAGCAGUUGGGACAGUCGGGGGGACACUGGGCUGGCUUACUGCAGCUGCAGUCGCGCUUAUUUAGAAAGGCAUCAUCUGCUCUCCGUGGAGAAGACCGAGCCGACAACCAUCAGGAGUUUCUUUUAACUUUUGUUUUAACAUAUAAUCUGAAUAUCGAAACUGGUAUACUUGCUAAAUGCUACAAUACCCAAUAAAGAAAUAUCAAAUAAAAGACUUAAGCUCAAAUGGGAAUCGUCAUGUAAACCUGUACUGUUCAUCCAUGUAUAUGGGAAAUGGGAACCUGUAGCCUACUGUUCGUGCAUGUAUCCAGGGGUUAAAUCAGUGGUUCCCAACCUUGGGGUCGCGACCCCUAGUGGGGUCGCAUGGAAUUGAAAUGGGGUCGCCUGAAAUAGUAAGUGAUCAAUACAAAAACAUAUAAUUAUUUUUUUUUAUUAUAAAAAUAAAAACACCAGACACAAUUCAAAACAACACCUCAAAUUACGGCUAUUCAUAUGAUAAAUUCAUGGUAAAUCGGCGAUCGCUAUUGGGUUGUGACGUGGCCACAACUACUUUGAAAACACCCCGUUUCGCCUGUAAACAAGUCCACGUUUACCUCAUAUAUAGCUGAACACGAUGAGGGGAAAUGUAUCCACUUUGAGCUUCGCCUUGACCAAGCCGAAGAUAUUUGUGAUGAGUAAGUUGUCUUCGUUUGACUAGCUCUUGUAAUGAAUGCUGUUGAUUAACUUAUAGGGAGUAAAACGCAUGUCAUAUUAUGGAGUUCUGAGUGUAGGCGAAUACCGUCAACUCGGCAAGGCGAUUUUGAAUCAUAUAAAUUACUUCAUGUCGCUAAGACUAUUCUACAGU